rnacentral:rRNA from 1 species
AGAGUUUGAUCCUGGCUCAGGAUGAACGCUGGCGGCGUGCCUAACACAUGCAAGUCGAGCGAAGCACUUACUUUAGAUUUCUUCGGAAUGAUGAAGUUUGUGACUGAGCGGCGGACGGGUGAGUAACGCGUGGGCAACCUGCCCUGUACAGGGGGAUAACAGUUAGAAAUGACUGCUAAUACCGCAUAAGCCCACAGCUUCGCAUGAAGCAGUGGGAAAAACUCCGGUGGUACAGGAUGGGCCCGCGUCUGAUUAGCUAGUUGGUAAGGUAACGGCUUACCAAGGCGACGAUCAGUAGCCGACCUGAGAGGGUGACCGGCCACAUUGGGACUGAGACACGGCCCAAACUCCUACGGGAGGCAGCAGUGGGGAAUAUUGCACAAUGGGGGAAACCCUGAUGCAGCGACGCCGCGUGAGCGAUGAAGUAUUUCGGUAUGUAAAGCUCUAUCAGCAGGGAAGAAAGUGACGGUACCUGACUAAGAAGCCCCGGCUAACUACGUGCCAGCAGCCGCGGUAAUACGUAGGGGGCAAGCGUUAUCCGGAUUUACUGGGUGUAAAGGGAGCGUAGACGGAAGUGCAAGUCUGAAGUGAAAGCCCGGGGCUCAACCUCGGGACUGCUUUGGAAACUGUCAGGCUAGAGUGCUGGAGAGGUAAGUGGAAUUCCUAGUGUAGCGGUGAAAUGCGUAGAUAUUAGGAGGAACACCAGUGGCGAAGGCGGCUUACUGGACAGUGACUGACGUUGAGGCUCGAAAGCGUGGGGAGCAAACAGGAUUAGAUACCCUGGUAGUCCACGCCGUAAACGAUGACUACUAGGUGUCGGGUAGCAAAGCUAUUCGGUGCCCCAGCAAACGCAAU